GUGUGUGUAUAUAUAUAUAAUGAUAUAUAAUGCAACUUUUUGAGUGGGAUUUGGGUGUAUAUAAACAACCCUUCACUUCUUUACCUAUUCCAUCGCCAUUCUUAAUUCUUCUCUCCCUUUUUCUUUCUUUAUUCUUUAAUCACUCUUAAGAGAGGAAGAGAAGAUGAGUAGACCGGGAGACUGGAACUGUAGGUCAUGCCAGCAUUUGAACUUCCAGAGGAGGGAUAUGUGCCAGCGUUGCGGCGAACCGAAGAGCGGCGGCGGUAUCGGAAGAGGUGGGUCUGGUUUCGGGUACGGAGGAUCGGAUGUGAGGCCCGGGGACUGGUACUGUAGCGUUGGAAAUUGUGGAGCUCACAAUUUUGCAAGCCGAUCAAGCUGCUUCAAAUGUGGAGCUUUCAAAGACGACAUGUCGGCCUUUGACUUCGAUAUUCCUCGUCGUAGUCCUAGAGGGAUUUCCCCAUUUGCUUUUCCCAGUCCCGCCCGUACUGCUGCCUCCGCUUGGAAGUCCGGUGACUGGAUUUGUGCAAGGUCGGGUUGCAAUGAACAUAACUUUGCAAGCAGGAUGGAGUGCUUUAGAUGCAGUGCUCCGAGAGACUCCUAUUAACAAAAUUAGCCAAGCCAAAAUCCUCCUUCAUCAUCAAGUUUUGGGUAUGCUCUCAACUGAGAAAAAUUUCAAAGAGACUUCAUAACCUGCACUACCUUUUCUUCUCUCUCUUUUUGUUUUCUGGUUUUGUAACCUUUUUUUAAUGAGUGAUGUUAAUUUAUGUGAUGAUAAAAAAUUGAGAUAUUGUCCAAAAAUCAAUCUUCAUUCUCUGUUUUUUUUUUUUUUUACAAAAUACUAGAGGUCGAAAGGUUGGUAGUUAUUCAAAUAUCUCAAUUGACACA